GACGAACGCUGGCGGCGUGCCUAAUACAUGCAAGUAGAACGCACAGUUUAUACCGUAGCUUGCUACACCAUAGACUGUGAGUUGCGAACGGGUGAGUAACGCGUAGGUAACCUGCCUGGUAGCGGGGGAUAACUAUUGGAACCGAUAGCUAAUACCGCAUAAUAUUAAUUAUUGCAUGAUAAUUAAUUGAAAGGUGCAAUUGCACCACUACCAGAUGGACCUGCGUUGUAUUAGCUAGUAGGUGAGGUAACGGCUCACCUAGGCGACGAUACAUAGCCGACCUGAGAGGGUGAUCGGCCACACUGGGACUGAGACACGGCCCAGACUCCUACGGGAGGCAGCAGUAGGGAAUCUUCGGCAAUGGACGAAAGUCUGACCGAGCAACGCCGCGUGAGUGAAGAAGGUUUUCUGAUCGUAAAGCUCUGUUGUAAGAGAAGAACGGGUGUGAGAGUGGAAAGUUCACACUGUGACGGUAUCUUACCAGAAAGGGACGGCUAACUACGUG
rnacentral:rRNA from 1 species